rnacentral:rRNA from 1 species
AACGGUAGGGGACAAGCGUUAUCCGGAUUUACUGGGCGUAAAGCGCCCGUAGGCGGCCUGACAAGUUGGACGUGAAAGCUCCUGGCUUAACUGGGAGAGGCCGUUCAAAACUGUCAAGCUAGAGUCUGGAAGAGGAGAGCGGAAUUCCCGGUGUAGUGGUGGAAUGCGUAGAGAUCGGGAGGAACACCAGUGGCGAAAGCGGCUCUCUGGUCCAAAACUGACGCUGAGGGGCGAAAGCGUGGGGAGCGAACGGG